CGAUACGGGUAGAUUAUUAUUGUAUACUGGCGACGGCCAUGUGGCGUAGUAGAUUCAGAGACUCCGACCCUUGUGGCAUACUUGGGUAGGGGGCUUAGCUGCCGAGUUAAUGGAAGAUCCCAUAAAGCCCGUGGGAUUACAUAUUGUAGGGUACACCACCUAGUACAGAAGUAAGACAAAGAGUGUCACAGAUUUCAGAUGUUUUCACAGAAUCUUUUUAGAAGUAAGACAAAGAGUGUCACAUAAUCCCUGAUUAGCAGAACGGCCACAACCUCGACCAUUUCUACCUCUACCACGACCACGUGUGGUGGGAAUAAAGCUUUGAGUAUAUUGAGCUUAAGGAGCAAUCACAUUAAGGGCUUCAUACCUUUUCAGUUAUCUUUCUUCGGACAACAACAUGCCAUAUAAAGCAUCAAAGGUGACAUCUUCUUGACGUGCCUCAAGUGCUCUGGUAAACGAACGAUAUGCAGGACCUAAACCCGCAAGAACAAAUUCGAUAAGAUCGUCAUCAUCGAUGGGAUGCUGCAAAUCAGCCAACCUAUCAGCCAUUCCUUUUGCCUUUUGGACGUAAGUCUCAAUGCUUGCAUUGUCACGGCUUAAAGUGUGUAACUGUGCUUUGAGCUCACGAAUUUAUGGUUUGAAUCCGGUUGCAUAGGCUGCAACCAAUUUGUUCCAUGCUGCACGGGUAGUUUCAACACCAACUAAUUGUGGCAGCACAUUCUCGGAUACUGAUGCGACAAUCCAACUUAAAACAAGUUGGUCCUCAUGAACCCAUGCCUUAUAGGCUGGAUUAAGUUGAUCGUCUGCUAUAACUUUAUUUGGAAUAGGUUCACUACCAUCAAUAUGAUGGUUAAGACCAUACCCACAAAGCAUUGGAAGAAACUAUGUCUUCCAUAGCUAGAAGUUUAACAACGUAAGCUUCACGGGUAAUUGAUGAGCAAGGUUAGGAGUUGGGGAAUAAGUCGGGGUGGUCGACACAGCAACUAUAGUUCUUGACAUGCGUGAGAAAGUAGUGACAUCUUCCAUUGCAGGAUUCUCAAGGGAACUUUGUUGUCUUCAGGAGAAAAAAAAAAUCGGAGGGUUGUUUAAACCACUAGGGAUUUGAUACCAUGAAAGAAACGUUUUUUCUAUAUAUAUCUCUGAAGGUGGAAAGCAAUAUUUAUACAAGAGGUUCUUGGGGAGCCAAGUCUCCUAACAUUACUAGAAUACAUAGAGAGGCCUAUACAGGAGUUAUCAAUAUACAAAUACUUCUAGUUGUCUAUCCUAGUUGGUAUUAACUACAUUUAUCCUUUACAUAUCCA
rnacentral:lncRNA from 1 species